AUACGUAGGGGGCAAGCGUUGUCCGGAUUUACUGGGUGUAAAGGGCGCGUAGGCGGACUUGUAAGUCAAGGGUGAAAUCUCCCGGCUUAACCGGGAAACUGCCUUUGAUACUGCAAGUCUUGAGUUCGGAAGAGAGUAGCGGAAUUCCAGGUGUAGUGGUGAAAUACGUAGAUAUCUGGAAGAACACCAGUGGCGAAGGCGGCUACUUGGUCCGUAACUGACGCUGAGGCGCGAAAGCGUGGGGAGC
rnacentral:rRNA from 1 species